UGGGGAAUAUUGGACAAUGGGCGGAAGCCUGCUCCAGCCAUGCCGCGUGUGUGAAGAAGGCCUUUUGGUUGUAAAGCACUUUAAGCGAGGAGGAGGCUACUUGGAUUAAUACUCUAGGAUAGUGGACGUUACUCGCAGAAUAAGCACCGGCUAACUCUGUGCCAGCAGCCGCGGUAAUACAGAGGGUGCGAGCGUUAAUCGGAUUUACUGGGCGUAAAGCGUGCGUAGGCGGCUUCUUAAGUCGGAUGAGAAAUCCCUGAGCUUAACUUAGGAAUUGCAUUCGAUACUGGGAAGCUAGAGUAUGGGAGAGGAUGGUAGAAUUCCAGGUGUAGCGGUGAAAUGCGUAGAGAUCUGGAGGAAUACCGAUGGCGAAGGCAGCCAUCUGGCCUAAUACUGACGCUGAGGUACGAAAGCAUGGGGAGCAAACAGG
rnacentral:rRNA from 1 species